GGUUGUGAGGGUGAUCUGGCUGCAACAUCUGUCAUCCCAUUGAUCACCACGGUUGAUUCGGCUGAUCUGGCUGGCUAGGCAAGUGUCUCCCUCCUCCCUCACUGCUCCAUGUGCAUCCCUCCCGAAGCUAUGUGCUCGGUCGAAGAGGACGGCCUUCCCUGAAUAGAGACAGACAGGUCUUCGGUCAAGGGUAUAUGAGUAGCUGCACUCCCCUGCUAGAACCUCCAAACAAGCUCUCAAGGUCCAUCUUCCUACUCUGUGCCUUUUAAUAGGUGAAUUUAGGCCAUUGACAUUUAUUGAUAUCAAAGAUUGAAGAUAUUUAACUCCAUUCUU
rnacentral:snRNA from 1 species